rnacentral:lncRNA from 1 species
AUGAGCAGAGCAGUGUGCAUUGCACCGUGGAGGGCAUCCAAAGCAUCCAAGGAGAUGGUCAGCUUUGCCCUGAGGCCUGGCAAUGACAAUGAAUGCAAACAGUCACCAGAGUCACCAGGAGUCCUCCCUGCUCCCAUUAAUCCACCUUGCAUCAAGCCUCCUCCGCAUGCUGUGAGGAAACAAAACUGGACAGUUAACCAGAACUUAAGACAAAGCCAGAGAUUGUGAGAGGCACAGCUUUGUCCCUGCAAACGUAGACUUGCAUUUAGUAUGGGCUUCAGGUGAGAGGUGGCUGCUUUCUGCUCUAGAAUUGUUUUAUCAUUCCCACUCUGACAAAGCCAAACUAAUUUAUGACAGCUCUAGUGGAAGAUGUUCUUGGGACAUACUUGGAGAUGGUCAUACUUUUAGUGAUGCUCCUUGAGAAGACAUAUAAGGGCUACAAUUUAUCA